CAUGCCGCGUGUGUGAAGAAGGCUUUCGGGUUGUAAAGCACUUUAAGUUGUGAGGAAAGGUUGAAGAUUAAUACUCUUCAGCUGUGACGUUAACAACAGAAUAAGCACCGGCUAACUCCGUGCCAGCCCCGUCGGUGACUGAGCGGGCUGGCAAGGCGCAUA
rnacentral:rRNA from 1 species